GACUGGAUUCGCUAGUAAUCGCGCAUCAGCCAUGGCGCGGUGAAUACGUUCCCGGGCCUUGUACACACCGCCCGUCAAGCCAUGGGAGUCGGGAGUGCCUGAAGUUCGUGACCGUCACAGGAGCGACCUAAGGCAAGACCGAUGACUGGGCUAAGUCGUAACAAGGUACC
rnacentral:rRNA from 1 species